AAAAAUAGUAAUAACACGAUAAGGAAGAUAAAGGAAGAAUAACAAUUAUAGAUUGGUGUUAAAAGAAGAAGAAGAAGACGAGAAAAGGGAAAGUUAAAAGAUAGGAAAUAAAUGGAUACUCAAACCUCAAACUUAGCAAAUGAUGGAAAUCAUCAACUUAGCAACCAUACAUCUCGAUAGCUAAAAAGCUAUGAUACAUAUGAAAUACAAAUUAACUAGAUUGAAGUAAGGGAAACUAUUCUAAUUACUUUAUCAAUGAAAAAUUGAUGAAAUAAUUAGAACAAUAAUUUGAUUCCCUUAAAAUGCCAC
rnacentral:lncRNA from 1 species